GACGAACGCUGGCGGCGUGCUUAACACAUGCAAGUCGAACGGUGAAGCGCCUUCCUUUUUGGUGGGUGUGUAUGAGCGGCGAACGGGUGAGUAACACGUGAGUAACCUUCUCCCUUCUUCUGGAUAACCGCAUGAAAGUGUGGCUACUACGGGAUAUACUGGGUCUGUCGCAUGAUUGGUCUGGGACGGAUAUUGUUUCGGUGGGGGAUGGGCUCGCGGCGUAUUAGCUUGUUGGUGGGGUGAUGUUCUACCAAGGCGGCGAUGCGUAGCCGCCCUGCGAGGGUGAUCGACCGCCACGCAGGGGCGAAGAGGCCGCGAAGCCUCCGACAGGAGGCAGCAGUGAAUAAUAUUCCACAGUGGACGCAAGCAUGAUGCAGCGACGCGGCGUGAGGGAUGGUCGUCGGCGGGUAGAGAACCUCUAUCGGGAGUGAAGCAAGCCUGACUCAAUUAUGGGUGGGUUGACGGUAGCUGGAUAAGAAGCGCCGGCUAACUACGUG
rnacentral:rRNA from 1 species